GACGGAGGAUGCAAGCGUUAUCCGGAAUGAUUGGGCGUAAAGCGUUCGCAGGUGGCUAUUCAAGUCUGCUGUCAAAGACCGGGGCUUAACCUCGGAUCGGCGGUGGAAACUGGAUCGCUAGAGUACGUCAGGGGUAGGGGGAAUUCCCGGUGUAGCGGUGAAAUGCGUAGAUAUCGGGAAGAACACCAGCGACGAAAGUGCCCUACUGGGACGUUACUGACACUCAUGGACGAAAGCUAGGGGAGCGAAAGGG
rnacentral:rRNA from 1 species